AAUGGAAUCAAAUACGCAGUAUUUACAGAAAAAAGUCUUCGUUUAUUGGGAAAGAAUCAAUAUACUUUUAAUGUCGAAUCGGGAUUCACUAAGACAGAAAUAAAGCAUUGGGUCGAACUCUUCUUUGGUGUUAAGGUGGUAGCUGUGAAUAGCCAUCGACUACCUGGAAAAGGUAAAAGAAUAGGACCUAUUCUGGGCCAUACAAUGCAUUACAGACGUAUGAUCAUUACCCUUCAACCGGGUUAUUCUAUUCCAAUAAACGAAGACUUUUUUCUGUAA
rnacentral:rRNA from 1 species